UAUUGGACAAUGGGGGCAACCCUGAUCCAGCCAUGCCGCGUGAGUGAUGAAGGCCUUCGGGUUGUAAAGCUCUUUUGGCGGGGACGAUGAUGACGGUACCCGCAGAAUAAGCCCCGGCUAACUUCGUGCCAGCAGCCGCGGUAAGACGAAGGGGGCUAGCGUUGUUCGGAAUUACUGGGCGUAAAGCGCGUGUAGGCGGUUCUCCAAGUCGGGUGUGAAAGCCUUGGGCUUAACCCAAGAAAUGCACUCGGUACUGGAAGACUAGAGGACCGGAGAGGAUAGUGGAAUUCCCAGUGUAGUGGUGAAAUACGUAGAGAUUGGGAAGAACACCAGUGGCGAAGGCGGCUAUCUGGACGGUUCUGACGCUAAGACGCGAAA
rnacentral:rRNA from 1 species